GAUGAGCGCUGGCGGCGUGCCUAAUACAUGCAAGUCGAGCGAACAGACGAGGAGCUUGCUCCUCUGACGUUAGCGGCGACGGGGGGGGAACCACGGGAAAACCUACCUUUAAAUCCGGGAAAAAUUCGGGAAACCGGGGGCAAAUCCGGGAAAAUAUUUUGAACCGAUGGUUCAAUUGGUAAAGACCGGUUUUGUGUUAUUUAUUAGAGGAUCCGCGCCGCAUUAGCUAGUUGGUAAGGUAACGGCUUACCAAGGCAACGAUGCGUAGCCGACCUGAGAGGGUGAUCGGCCACACUGGAACUGAGACACGGUCCAGACUCCUACGGGAGGCAGCAGUAGGGAAUCUUCCGCAAUGGGCGAAAGCCUGACGGAGCAACGCCGCGUGAGUGAUGAAGGUCUUCGGAUCGUAAAACUCUGUUAUUAGGGAAGAACAAAUGUGUAAGUAACUAUGCACGUCUUGACGGUACCUAAUCAGAAAGCCACGGCUAACUACGUG
rnacentral:rRNA from 1 species